rnacentral:lncRNA from 1 species
GUGGACGGGAUGGACGAUGAAAGCCUAUGUUUCAUGGAGAGUCUGAGUGACAGCAACCAUGAUGAAAGUGAUACAGGUAAGAACAGCUCUCAGGUAGGAGCCAAUGGGAGAGGGAUCCCGGGACACUUGGGUGACGCCUGCUGCUUGGAGUGUGGGGCAGGUGAGUCUGAAACUUAAAAACAGAAAGAAAUUGAUGUAAAGAUGUUCACCGCCUACUUUAAUAAGGAGAGGGAGCAGAUAUGAGAUGCCUGAAUGUUGGCAUCUGUGCUCACCUUGUGUGGAAGGGUCUCAGUCCAUGGAGCAGAGGGAAGGUCUGGGCACCUGGAGGAAAAACCAGGGUGAUGCUCUGUACCCGUAGUCACCUCAGGGAAGCCGGAGAAACGGGAGGGCCACUCUUUCUAACUCCUUGAUUCCCCUGAUGGUGUGUUUCUACAGACUCAGUGGUGGAGAGCCUGAGCAGCCGCCAGGAUGAGGAGGCUGCAGCAACCCUCGAUGAUGUUGUGGAGGCCGGCGGGAGUGAGAAGACGGAGGAAGAGGCCCUGGCUGGGGCAAAUGAGGAGGAGGUGGGGCCGGGAACUGAGAAGGUGCAGGAGGAGGCUGCCUGCAUUGACGAGGCAGAGGAGGAGGCAGGCCCAUCCCUUGAAAAUGACGAGGAGUCCCCAGCCAGCGACCUGGUUGAGCAGGAAGACCAGCUUGCCCCCAAGGUAAGCUCACCUUUCUUGAUCGGAGAUUUAAAAAGGUGCCUCCUUUCUUCUUGGAUGUGCCUACUUCAGAAAAGGAAAUCUGAGCAAGUCCAUUAUAGAGGAUAUAUGCACAUUCCUCUGUGGAGGAAUGUUGAGUCAAAGUUUGGUACCAACCAAUAACUCCUUCCAAGGGGCAUUGGCAAAAGGGACCACAUCAGUUCCCAAGUGUACAUAGGGAGCAUUUGUCUUUGAAGAAGCCUGAAUGUUUUGUUUUGUUGUCUUUUUGCCUUUUCUAGGGCCACUCCUGUGGCAUAUGGAGGUUCCCAGGCUCAGGGUCAAACCAGAGCUGUAGCCACCGGCCUGCGCCAGAGCCACAGCAACGCGGGAUCCGAGCAACGUCUGCAACCUACACCUCAGCUCACGGCAAUGCCGGAUCCUUAACCCACUGAGCAAGGCCAGGGA